rnacentral:lncRNA from 1 species
AAUCGUCAACCACAGCUCAAUGUGGAGCAAAAUGAGAUAUCACCUGUAACAUUUUGCAUAGCCAGGUAGAGUCUAAGGAAUCAUGUAAAACAAUGUCCUCACGCUUCCAAUUUCAGAGAGCCGUUGAUCAAUUAUAAUUAUCAAUACCCUCACAGACUUCAAGAGUUGAGGACAGAGACUAGCUUUUAGUCCCACUGGUGACUCAUCAUAACGCUGGAUAAAUAUGGCCUAGAUGAGAUGGAACUCUUACAGAAUAAUGUAUCUAAAUGUGAUAUAAUGAUAUUGUUUUGAAGCUUCUCUUCCUCAGAAUGGAUGUGCUGCCUUGAGCCCUCGACACCACAUAUUCAUCACUUAUCCCUAUUCCUUUGUGUUGUUUUUACUUUUCAGAUUUCAUUAUGAAGGCACCGGUGGUUCUGCAUUUGUAUCCAUCUGGAAUCCAGGAGAUGAAAUGGAGCAGACAUACACACAGGGACGGGGAAGAGUGGUCCCGGAGAUGGAGAGAGUGGGCCGUUGAGUUGCAUUCCACCAGGGGACCGUGCACUGUUUGCAUGCAACUGUGGUAAAAGGCUUAACUGGGCUGCUGGUUCAUGCGCAUGUUACUAACUUUAUUCCGUGCUAGAGGAGAGGGAGAGUCCUACAGCACAGAAGGAACGCCAGGAAGUCUUACAGAACAGGGACAGCCAGUGUCAGUGCAACACGCCAAUGUUCUGUUCUUAGAAGUGGCUUGAAAUAUUCUUCCCAUUCCCCCCACACACGUUAUUCUCAGGAACCACAGAUUUCAUUAAAC